rnacentral:rRNA from 1 species
UGGGGAAUAUUGGACAAUGGGCGAAAGCCUGAUCCAGCCAUGCCGCGUGUGUGAAGAAGGUCUUCGGAUUGUAAAGCACUUUAAGUUGGGAGGAAGGGCAGUUACCUAAUACGUGAUUGUUUUGACGUUACCGACAGAAUAAGCACCGGCUAACUCUGUGCCAGCAGCCGCGGUAAUACAGAGGGUGCAAGCGUUAAUCGGAAUUACUGGGCGUAAAGCGCGCGUAGGUGGUUAGUUAAGUUGGAUGUGAAAUCCCCGGGCUCAACCUGGGAACUGCAUUCAAAACUGACUGACUAGAGUAUGGUAGAGGGUGGUAGAAUUUCCUGUGUAGCGGUGAAAUGCGUAGAUAUAGGAAGGAACACCAGUGGCGAAGGCGACCACCUGGACUGAUACUGACACUGAGGUGCGAAAGCGUGGGGAGCAAACAGGAUUAGAUACCCAUGUAGUCCCUGAGCGGGCUGGCAAGGCGCAU